AGAGCGAACGCUGGCGGCAGGCCUAACACAUGCAAGUCGAGCGCCCGUAGCAAUACGGGAGCGGCAGACGGGAUAGUAACACGUGGGAACGCGCCCUUCGGUUCGGAAUAACUCAGGGAAACUUGAGCUAAUACCGGAUACGCCCUUACGGGGAAAGAUUUAUUGCCGAAGGAACGGCCCGCGUCCGAUUAGCUAGUUGGUGAGGUAAUGGCUCACCAAGGCGACGAUCGGUAGCUGGUCUGAGAGGAUGACCAGCAUCACUGGGACUGAGACACGGCCCAGACUCCUACGGGAGGCAGCAGUAGGGAAUCUGCGCAAUGGGCGAAAGCCUGACGCAGCCAUGCCGCGUGAAUGAUGAAGGUCUUAGGAUUGUAAAAUUCUUUCAGCGGGGACGAUAAUGACGGUACCCGCAGAAGAAGCCCGGCUAACUCGUGCCAGCAGCCGC
rnacentral:rRNA from 1 species